rnacentral:rRNA from 1 species
CGCUAUGGAAACUGAAACGAACAGUGUGGUCUAAAGGAAAGAGAAGUCGUAACAAGGCAUCGGUAGGUGAACCUGCCGAUGGAUCAUU